UGAGGAAUAUUGGUCAAUGGGCGAGAGCCUGAACCAGCCAAGUCGCGUGAAGGAAGAAGGUUCUAUGGAUUGUAAACUUCUUUUGUAAGGGAAUAAAAAAGAGUACGUGUACUCUAUUGUAUGUACUUUACGAAUAAGGAUCGGCUAACUCCGUGCCAGCAGCCGCGGUAAUACGGAGGAUCCGAGCGUUAUCCGGAUUUAUUGGGUUUAAAGGGGGCGUAGGCGGACUUAUAAGUCAGCGGUGAAAGUUUGCAGAUUAACUGUAAAAUUGCCGUUGAAACGGUUAGUCUUGAGUGUAAAUGAGGUAGGCGGAAUGUGUUGUGUAGCGGUGAAAUGCUUAGAUAUAACACAGAACACCAAUUGCGAAGGCAGCUUACUGGGAUACAACUGACGCUGAGGCACGAAAGCGUGGGGAUCAAACA
rnacentral:rRNA from 1 species